rnacentral:lncRNA from 1 species
AGCAUUGCUAUUAUAAUAUGUGUAGAAAGAUCCAAUUCUGUUUCGUUCAGUGUUAUUGAAAGUUUUUCAAAUUGAGCUCAUGUUGCUCGGUUGGUAGAGUGCUUGCCUAACAUGGAUAAAGCCCCCGGCUUCAUAACUAGCACCCAUGAAACUGGGUGUGGGUGGCAUAGCCUUAUGCUCUCAAAGCUUGGGAAGUGGAGGUGGGAAGAUCAAACACUUAAGUUAAUUGUUUUCUAUAAAGUGAGUUCAAGGCCAGCCUGAGCUGCAUGAGAUCUUGUCUCAAAACAAAACAAAACAAACAAAACAAAACACCACCACCACCACCACCACAACAACAACAGUAACACACUCUAAUAUUAAGUAUCCCUGGGAAUGCUUGGUGCUCUUCUAGAGGACCUAGGUUGCAUUUCUUUUUUUUUUUUUUUAAUUUAUUUAUUUUAUGUAUAUGAGUACACUGUUGCUGUCUUUAGACACACCAGAAGAGGGCACUGGAUCCCAUUACAGAUGGUUGUGAGCCACCAUGUGGUUGCUGGGAAUUGAACUCAGGACUUCUGGAAGAGCAGAGUUUGUGCUCUUAACCACUGAGCCAUCUCUCCAGCCCCGAGGUUGCAUUUCUUGCAUCCAUGUUAAAUGAUCACAGUCACCUGUAUCUCUAGCUCCAGGAGUUAUGAUGGCCUCUUUUGCCCUCAAAGACACUGUCAUAUGCAUAACACACACAUGCGCAUUUGCGAGUGCACACAAGCUCACACACAAAUGUACAGACACAUGCGCAUUCACACACAUAUAUGCAUGCAUGCAUACACAGGUGCACACUUGAACACAGACACCCACAAGUGUCCAAGCACACACACACCCAUACACACACACACACACACACACACACACACACACACACAAAUAAAAAGAAAAAGGAAGUCUCACUAGAAGUAGGAUCAUUUUGUGGCUAAUGCACUAAUAGAUUUAUCUCUUCAUCCUUCCUCCAGCUUUAUUCAGUUUUGUGGGGUUCUCUCCUUCCUUGAGUUGUGCUUUAGUAAGAAGUACAUUGUACCAAGAUAUAUUAGUCCAAUAUAAUCUACACACACACACACACACACACACACACACACAGCAUAAAUAAAACUCCUGGAAAAUUUUAGUGUUCCCACCCUUAAGUUUUUAAAGAACUAAACUUUUCUCUUCUGGCUUAUUCAGUAAAAUGUUGUUUAAGACACAAUACAAGGUGGUUCUGAUGGUGCAGGCCUGUCAUUCCAGUUGCUUGGGAAACUGAGGUAGGAAGACUGCAAGUUCGAGGUCUGCCUGGACUGUGCUGUGAGUUCAAGGACAGCCUCUACCACUUAUCGGGUCCCUGACUGAACACACAAAAGCAGGGCUGAAACAUAGCUCAGUUUUCCUUUUAAACAUUUUUUUAAAAACUGAAUAUUUUCUCUUUGUGCGUGAGUGCUUUGCCUACAUGUGUGUCUGUGCACCUCAUGUGUACCUGGUAUUCUCAGAGACCAGAAGAGGAUAUAGAACCCCUUGACACUAGAGUGAUGGAUACAUGGCUGUUAGCCACAUGUAGGUGCUGGGAAUUGAACCCUGGUCCCAUGGAAGGACCAUCCCCAGUCCACUGAGAAUAUCUUCAUAUAUUCGUGUGCUUCCGCAAAUGAAAAUUCCUCCAUUGAUCUAAAUUAUUUCUAUGCUUUUCCAAGAAGUCCCAUGAACUCAGAAAGUGCCCUGGGCCUUCCACUCUUCAGUCUUCUGGGAAGAAGUCAUCUCUACUGGCAUUACAGACUCCUAGAGAAGAAAACAUUUUAAAAAGAAAGAAAAAUUAAAAGC